GAUGAACGCUGACAGAAUGCUUAACACAUGCAAGUCUACCAAGAAUCACUUCGGUGAGGAAUGGUGGCGGACGGGUGAGUAACGCGUAAAUAAUCUGCCCUUUAGACUGGGAUAUCCUUUGGAAACGGAGGUUAAUACCGGAUAUUAUGAGAUGGACGCAUGUUCAACUUAUGAAAGCUAAAGGCACUAGAGGAGGAGUUUGCGUCCCAUUAGCUAGUUGGUGAGGUAAAGGCUCACCAAGGCCACGAUGGGUAGCCGGCCUGAGAGGGUGAACGGCCACAAGGGAACUGAGACACGGUCCUUACUCCUACGGGAGGCAGCAGAGGGGAAUAUUGGACAAUGGACCAAAAGUCUGAUCCAGCAAUUCUGUGUGCACGAUGAAGGUCUUCGGAUUGUAAAGUGCUUUCAGUAGGGAAGAAAAAAAUGACGGUACCUACAGAAGAAGCGACGGCUAAAUAUGUGCCAGCCGCCGCCGUAA
rnacentral:rRNA from 1 species